CCCCUGCGUCGUGCCAUACACCCUACACACGAUGCCGAAAAUAGAAGAGAAACUGAAAUGGCAGCGGGCAUUACAGCGACACGAUUUGCCAAAGAAUGUGUUGGUGCAUUUUAUUGACGGGGGACCAACACCCAUUCUGAAUUUAGGUUAUAAAGCUUCCGUCAAAGUUGGUCGUCGACUUCUGAAGAAAAAGGAAAUUAGAGAUGGUGGGAACAGAUGGGAGUGAACAUGAAAAGCAACAAAAGGUGGUUGCUGCUGCAGAUGAUGUUGAAACUCUCAACAUUAUUCAAACUGAACCAACGAUGACAUCUUUUUUAACGCAGACGAGCAUAACAGAAAGCAGAUCUGCAGGCACACAGUGGAUAGAUCCCACACUACAUGAGCAUGAAUAUGCUAGGCCGUGCAUUUCAGGAUCCAGGGAUACAGGAACACAGACGUGACCCAGUGAGACCAAGGACAAAGGAGUAAACUGUAGCACUCUGCAUAUACGCCUCACCACUGCUGACAUAUCAUCUGACUCCUUAGCCUUGUUAUACACAGGACUGCCUUUAAACACUUUCAGAACAUUUGUGAGUGUAAUGCAAAAUAUGGACGACCCAUUGAAGUUUACCAUGCCCGUUUCAGAACAAGGUUUGUUGGUGCUAAUGAUAGUAAGGCUUAAUCUACUGUUUGCAGAUCUUGCCAAUAGAUUUGGAAUAUCCGAGUCUUAUGCGUGCACCAUUUUCAAUCAAAGACUCUCUUUUAUGGCUUCAAAACUGAAAAAUUUAAUUGUUUGGCUUCCACGUGAAACAAUUAGAGCCACCAUGCCAAAAUCUUUUCGUGAGAACUAUCCGAAAACCAGUCAUAAUUGAUUGCGCUGAAACUUUCAUCCAACGAGUGAAAAACUUGAAGACAAGAGGAGAAACAUACAGCCACUACAAGUCCAACAACACGGGAAAGUAUUUGGUUGGUAUUGCACCACCUGGACAGAUUGUGUUUAUAUCGAAAGGCUUUGGAGGAAGAUCUAGUGAUAAAGCAAUUGUGGAAGAGUCUGGCAUUUUAAAUUACCUUCUUCCUGGGGAUGAAAUUAUGGCGGAUCGAGGUUUUACCAUUGAUGACUUACUCUUUCCCUUGAAAGUGAAACUUAAUAUUCCAGCUUUUACGAAAGGUAAAUACCAACUUUCAGAAGAGGAUGUAACAGAGACGAGACGAAUUGCCACUUUACGGAUUCAUGUGGAACGGGCUAUUAGACGUUUAAAAGUGUUCCGCAUUCUUAGUCAGGUGUUCCCGUAACCUCUGUUAAGAAACUCAGUGACUACUUCAUUGUUUGUGCUGCAUUGGUUAAUCUGAGAUCUGACCUUAUCAAAGAUAAAGAUAACUGAUGGUUAUGAUAAAAUUUUAAACUCUAGUCAGCUUCACUAAUGUUAAUGAUGCAUGCAUUAACAUAUUGUAAUAUGAUAUUAUGUACAAGUUCAUAAUGUUAUAUUUUUUCACAGCCUUGAAAUGUCUUAAAUGCCAAUGUAUUUUGGAUAUAUAUUUGAUUAAUCUUUGUAAAUUACAACCAUAUUUGGAAAUUCAGUAUCAUUGAUAUGAUAUACUGUACAUUAUAGUAAUACUAGUUUCUGGUGUAAAAUUUUUUUGUUGCAAAAUUGCAUAGGCUUUUAAUGAAGUAAAAUUACAUUAUUGUCUUCCCGAACAAAAAUUUAUUUCUAUAUAUGUUUUAAUUAUAUUCAAUAGAACCAAAAUCCUUAUUUUGAUGAAAUCUUGAACUUGUUUUUUGAUUUUAUCAAUGACUAUGUUAAAGUUGCAUACAAAAUUAUCAUAAUAGCACAUAUUUACAACAAAAUAAAACUUUCAGAUUGAGAGCUAUCAUAACUUUAAAGUGAAUGUCAUAUUUAUUAUCAAGAUAUUUGUGUAUGAUUAAAGGUAAUACUGUAAA